GUGCUCGCCUCGGCAGCACAUCCACUAAGAUUGGAAUGAUACAGAGAGAUUAGCAGGGCCCCUGCGCAAGGAUGACAUGCAAAUUCAUGAAGCGUUCCAUAUUUUG
ensembl:snRNA U6 U6 spliceosomal RNA